rnacentral:lncRNA from 1 species
AAAAAAAAGGGGGGAAGAAAAAGCAAAUGAAGAUUGAAGCCCGACGAUGACAGAGUCGAUCUCUCCUACUAGGGCGAUAGAUCUGACGGCAAAAGCCCGAUCGUCCCUAGAAGAAGCUCAACAAAGUCAUUUCUGCAAACGAAGAUUGAAGCCCGACGAUGACAGAGUCGAUCUCUCCUACUAGAGCGAUAGAUCUGACGGCAAAAGCCCGAUCGUCCCUAGAAGAAGCUCAACAAAGUCAUUUCUGCAAACGAAGAUCGAAGCCCGACGAUGACAGAGUCGAUCUCUCCUACUAGGCGAUAGAUCUGACAGCAAAAGCCCGAUCGUCCCUAGAAGAAGCUCAACAAAGUCAUUUCUGCAAACGAAGAUCGAAGCCCGACGAUGACAGAGUCGAUCUCUCCUACUAGGGCGAUAGAUCUGACGCAAAAGCCCGAUCGUCCCUAGAAGAAGCUCAACAAAGUCAUUUCUGCAAACGAAGAUUGAAGCUCGACGAUGACAGAGUCGAUCUCUCCUACUAGGGCGAUAGAUCUGACGGCAAAAGCCCGAUCGUCCCUAGAAGAAGCUCAACAAAGUCAUUUCUGCAAACGAAGAUCGAAGCCCGACGAUGACAGAGUCGAUCUCUCCACUAGGGCGAUAGAUCUGACGGCAAAAGCCCGAUCAUCCCUAGAAGAAGCUCAACAAAGUCAUUUCUGCAAACGAAGAUCGAAGCCCGACGAUGACAGAACCGAUCUCUCCUACUAGGGCGAUAGAUCUGACGGCAGAAGCCCGAUCGUUCCUAGAAGAAGCCCGACAAAGUCAUUCCUGC